rnacentral:misc_RNA from 1 species
GAUGAAGAACGUAGCAAAAUGCGAUAAGUAAUGUGAAUUGCAGAAUUCAGUGAAUCAUCGAAUCUUUGAACGCACAUUGCGCCCGCCAGUACUCUGGCGGGCAUGCCUGUCCGAGCGUCAUUUCAACCCUCAGGGCCCUCCAGCAGGGCGCUGGUGUUGGGGAUCGGCAGUCCCAGCGGCUGCCGUCCCUGAAAUGUAGUGGCGGUCCCACCGUGACCUCCCCUGUGCAGUACGUCGCUCGCAGAGGGACAGCGGUGCGGCCACGCCGUAAAACGCCCAACUCUUCAAGGUUGACCUCGGAUCAGGUAGGACUACCCGCUGAACUUAAGCAUAUCAAUAAGCGGAGGA